AGAGUUUGAUCCUGGCUCAGAUUGAACGCUGGCGGCAUGCCUUACACAUGCAAGUCGAACGGCAGCGCGGGGCAACCUGGCGGCGAGUGGCGAACGGGUGAGUAAUAUAUCGGAACGUGCCCUGGAGUGGGGGAUAACGCAGCGAAAGUUGCGCUAAUACCGCAUACGAUCUAAGGAUGAAAGCAGGGGACCGCAAGGCCUUGUGCUCCUGGAGCGGCCGAUAUCUGAUUAGCUAGUUGGUGGGGUAAAGGCCUACCAAGGCAUCGAUCAGUAGCUGGUCUGGGAGGACGACCAGCCACACUGGAACUGAGACACGGUCCAGACUCCUACGGGAGGCAGCAGUGGGGAAUUUUGGACAAUGGGCGAAAGCCUGAUCCAGCAAUGCCGCGUGAGUGAAGAAGGCCUUCGGG
rnacentral:rRNA from 1 species